UGUCCCUGAUCAACACAUUGAGAGGAUUUUAUUAUCUUUUCUUUUCCUCCCCGACAGCUCAAGUGCCAAGGUAGCUCAGGUAGAAAGCUGCAAACCGCAGGAAUUAAUCUUCACUGACAAAGGCAUCCCUGCUAAGGACUGGUCUGGAUUGGAGGAUGUGCUUGAAGCUGCAGACUCUAUGAGCAGGGACACUCCCAGCACCCUCGAUUAAGGCGCUGCUGGUGCCUCAGGACGGCCUCAGGACGGCUUUUCCAUGGGCACGGGGGAGAUUCCUCAGCUCGCAUCUCUCCAGACAGGUUGCUGAGUGCAAGGCAAGCCUUCAAAGCCCUGAAGCAGGAGAAACGAUUGCUUUCACUCUGGCCAAAUUCUCACAAGUUGAACAGACAGACCUGAUCAAGCUUAAAGGACCCUGCAGCUACAAACAGAUAUCCAAGCAUACAGAAGUACAGGAUCUGAGAAACAGUCCAGGAAGGAGAGAGCCGUGUGCCGAACUGCUGAGCCAAGACCAGAGUCAACCCUGAGCCCUCCUCACUACAAGGCAGACCCCACACCAUCGCUGGAGGAAGGGGUUGCUGUCUUGGAGGCACUACAGGUGGCAGAGCAGAACUGAAGAGCUUUCUUUUGUUUUUCAUAAGAAAUCAUCAAAGGUGAGGAUGAAAAAAUUAUUUUUGUGGAAUUGACUGUGUGAAACGUUUUUUUGUUUUGAGUGUUUG
rnacentral:lncRNA from 1 species